rnacentral:misc_RNA from 1 species
AUUGACACUUUUUGGAGAUCUAAUCUGUCAGCUGUGGAUCGACCAAGUAGCAUCUGUGGAUGUAAAGAGGACGCUUCUGUUCACAUUUUUGGGGUUGGUUUUGGUGGGUCCAACUUUGCACUUUUGGUACCUCUAUCUGAGUAGAUUGGUCACAACUCCAGGGAUCGCCGGUACUCUCAUGCGUCUCGUACUAGAUCAGUUCCUUUUUGCUCCAAUUUUUGUUGGUGUUUUCUUAUCCUCUUUGGUAACACUUGAGGGAAGAUCAUCACAAGUUAUUCCAAAGCUUCAACAGGAGUGGUUCUCAUCUGUCCUUGCAAAUUGGCAACUCUGGAUACCUUUUCAAUUUUUCAACUUCCGGUUUGUGCCUCAGCAAUUUCAGGUCCUUGCUGCUAACUUCAUCGCUUUAGUGUGGAAUGUCAUAUUGUCAUAUAAAGCCCACAAAGAAGUUAUUGUAAAAUAGUAAUGCAGACUUCAGGUUCUUGCUCCGCUGCCUACUGAUGCCGAGAAUUUGGAAUAGGCAUGUGAUUUAAGCUGCGCAAGAUAUUACUUCUUUGUACGUUGGUAUUGAUCUAGGUUGAAAAAGUUCUUGGUGUGUACUGUUCCAGAGAAAUAGUAUAAAAU